rnacentral:rRNA from 1 species
ACCAUCCGCGGUAAUUCCAGCUCCAAUAGCGUAUAUUAAAGUUGUUGCCGUUAAAAAGCUCGUAGUUGAACCUUGGGCCUGGCUGACCUGUCCUCCUAAUCGAGCGCACGGGUUCGGUCGGGCCUUUCCUUCUGGGGAUCCCGAUGCCCUUCACUGGGCGUCGUGGGGAACCAGGACUUUUACCUUGAAAAAAUUAGGGUGUUCAAAGCAGGCCUUUGCUCGAAUACAUUAGCAUGGAAUAAUAGAAUAGGACAGAGGUUCUAUUUUGUUGGUUUCUAGGACCGCUGUAAUGAUUAAUAGGGAUAGUCGGGGCGUCCGUAUUCAAUUGUCAGAGGUGAAAUUCUUGGAUUUAUUGAAGACGAACUACUGCGAAAGCAUUCGCCAAGGAUGUAUUCAUUAAUCAGUGAACGAAAGUUAGGGGAUCGAAGACGAUCAGAUACCGUCGUAGUCUUAACCAUAAACUAUGCCGACUAGGGAUCGGACGGUGGUUUUUUUUAUGCCCCG